rnacentral:rRNA from 1 species
UACAGAGGAGCCAAGCGUUGUCCGGAUUGACUGGGCGUAAAGCGCACGCAGGCGGUUUGGCGCGUGGGGUGUGAAAUCUGGCCGCUUAACGGCCAGGCGCCAUCCCAUACGGCCGGACUGGAGCCUUGCAGAGGUCGGUGGAAUUGCCGGUGUAGUGGUGAAAUGCGUAGAGAUCGGCAGGAACACCCAGGGGGAAACCAGCCGACUGGGCAUCUGCUGACGCUGAGGUGCGAGAGCGUGGGGAGCGAACCGG